GACGAACGCUGGCGGCGUGCUUAACACAUGCAAGUCGAGCGGUAAGGCCCUUUCGGGGGUACACGAGCGGCGAACGGGUGAGUAACACGUGGGUGACCUGCCUUUAGCUCUGGGAUAAGCCUGGGAAACUGGGUCUAAUACCGGAUACGACUCCGCGGUGCAUGCUGUGGGGUGGAAAGCCUUGUGCGGCUGGAGAUGGGCCCGCAGCCUAUCAGCUUGUUGGUGGGGUGAUGGCCACCAAGGCGACGACGGGUAGCCGGCCUGAGAGGGCGACCGGCCACACUGGGACUGAGACACGGCCCAGACUCCUACGGGAGGCAGCAGUGGGGAAUCUUGCGCAAUGGGCGAAAGCCUGACGCAGCGACGCCGCGUGAGGGAUGACGGCCU
rnacentral:rRNA from 1 species